rnacentral:lncRNA from 1 species
UAUUUUAUAUACUAUAUAAAAUUAGUUUUAGAUCUAAAAUUUAUAUGAAAUUUAUCUAAAAUUUAUCUGAUACUUUGAUCUAAUUAGAUUAGAUACAUAACAUGCAUGAUAUGAUCAUAUUCAGUGCACGUCUGAAUUUUUUAUUAUUGUAUAUAUAGAUAUAAUUAAUUUUUAAAAUUAGAUUUCAGAUCUUAUUAGCUCAGUACUUGAAUUGAGAUGAUCACCAGGC